rnacentral:misc_RNA from 1 species
AAGUCGUAACAAGGUUUCCGUAGGUGAACCUGCGGAAGGAUCAUUACAACACCCUUUUUUCUUUUGUUAUUAAUUAUUUAUUAAUUAAUAAUUAUAAACCCACUUUGUUGAACCUUUAUUUUUAUUUUGUUAUGAAUUAUUUUUGUUAUGAAUGGGAUUUUCUUUUUUUUUCUACAAAAAAAAGAGAAGAUUUCCAUUUUCAUAUCCAAUCUUAUCUUAUUAUCUUAUUAUCUCUUUUUUUUCUUUUUUCUUUUUUGGAUCUUCAACUUUGCUUUGAAGUAAACAAAAAAAACAAAAAGAAAACUUAUGGAUAAUUCUGUUAAAAAACAAAACAAAAAACUAUUAUAAAUUUUAAACAAUUUAUAAUAUUAAUAAUAUAUAAUAUGAGAGUACAACUCUUAACAAUGGAUAUCUAGGCUCUCGU